rnacentral:misc_RNA from 1 species
CGCAUCUUGCGCUCCUUGGUAUUCCGAGGAGCAUGCCUGUUUGAGUGUCGUGAAAUCUCUCAACCCCUGUUUCCUUUCUGGAUUUUAGGGAUUGGAUUUGGACGUCUGCUGCGUCUCGCGCGGCUCGUCUUGAAAUGCAUUAGCUGGUCCCGUCGCAUGAGCCCCGGUCUUUGCAAACGGUGUGAUAAGGAAACGCUUGUGCCGUUUUAAUUGCCGACUCUGGGAAAGGGCUGCUUCUAACCGUCUGCGGACGUUUGUUUUUACCCCAUCUGACCUCAAAUCAGGUAGGACUACCCGCUGAACUUAA